rnacentral:rRNA from 1 species
GACGAACGCUGGCGGCGUGCUUAACACAUGCAAGUCGUACGGUAAGGCCCUUUCGGGGGUACACGAGUGGCGAACGGGUGAGUAACACGUGAGUAACCUGCCCACAACUUUGGGAUAACGCUAGGAAACUGGUGCUAAUACUGGAUAUGUGCUCCUGCUGCAUGGUGGGGGUUGGAAAGCUCCGGCGGUUGUGGAUGGACUCGCGGCCUAUCAGCUUGUUGGUGGGGUAGUGGCCUACCAAGGCGGCGACGGGUAGCCGGCCUGAGAGGGUGACCGGCCACAUUGGGACUGGGAUACGGCCCAGACUCCUACGGGAGGCAGCAGUGGGGAAGAUUGCACAAGGGGCGCAAGCCUGAUGCAGCAACGCCGCGUGCGGGAUGACGGCCUUCGGGUUGUAAACCGCUUUCAGCAGGGACGAAGCUUUUUGUGACGGUACCUGCAGAAGAAGCACCGGCUAACUACGUG